GACGAACGCUGGCGGCGCGCCUAACACAUGCAAGUCGAGCGGAGAUACUUGAAGGAAGUUUUCGGAUGGAAUUUGAGUAUUUUAGCGGCGGACGGGUGAGUAACGCGUGAGUGACCUGCCUUCCACAGGGGGAUAACGUACCGAAAGGUACACUAAUACCGCAUUAGACCACAGCACUGCCUGGUGCAGGGGUCAAAGGAGCAAUCCGGUGGAAGAUGGCCUCGCGUCCGAUUAGAUAGUUGGUGGGGUAGCGGCCUACCAAGUCAGCGAUCGGUAGCCGACCUGAGAGGGUGAUCGGCCACAUUGGAGCUGAGAGACGGUCCAAACACCUACGGGAGGCAGCAGUGGGGAAUAUUGGGCAAUGGGGGAAACCCUGACCCAGCGACGCCGCGUGAGGGAAGAAGGUUUUCGGAUUGUAAACCUCUGUUCUUGGUGAAGAGGGAAAGACGGUAGCCAAGGAGGAAGCCCCGGCUAACUACGUGCCAGCCGCCGCCGUAA
rnacentral:rRNA from 1 species